GAGCGCCUCCUGAUAUAUCGGGCAUCGUAAGGGAAACCUUAUGUAUGAAUGCGGUCAAAAUCGGUGAAUCCUAAAGAGCUAGCUGACGAUAAAUGCCUAGAUUAGUUUAGGUUAUAGUCGUUGGAAUCUAUGGAAAUACCGAGCCAAGCCCAAUGCUAGAUUUGCGGUUUUAGCUUUGAGGUUGAUCUCAAUCUAAAAUUAAGAAUCGAACAAGGGAAGGUGUAGAGACUAGACGAUCGCCACCUAAGAGCUUUUCAGCUUAUGGUGAAGGUAUAGUCCAGAGAGUGAGGAAACUCACAC
rnacentral:ribozyme from 1 species